rnacentral:rRNA from 1 species
GAUCAACGCCGGCGGCGCACAUAAGACAUGCAAGUUGAACGGACUUAAUCGAAAUAUUUAUAUUUUGAAGCGGUUAGUGGCGGACUGGUGAGUAACGCGUAAGGAACCUGCCUAUUAGAGGGGAAUAACAGUGAGAAAUCAUUGCUAAUACCGCAUAUGCCAUAGAUAUCACAUGAUAACAGUGGGAAAGGAGCAAUCCGCUAAUAGAUGGCCUUGCGUCUGAUUAGAUAGUUGGUGAGGUAACGGCCUACCAAGUCGACGAUCAGUAGCCGGACUGAGAGGUUGAACGGCCACAUUGGGACUGAGAUACGGCCCAGACUCCUACGGGAGGCAGCAGUCGGGAAUAUUGCGCAAUGGAGGAAACUCUGACGCAGUGACGCCGCGUAUAGGAAGAAGGUUUUCGGAUUGUAAACUAUUGUCGUUAGGGAAGAGAAAGGACAGUACCUAAGGAGGAAGCUCCGGCUAACUACGUG